rnacentral:rRNA from 1 species
AUUGAACGCUGGCGGCAGGCCUAACACAUGCAAGUCGAGCGGAGCGGCGGACGGGUGAGUAAUGCCUAGGAAUCUGCCUGGUAGAGGGGGAUAAGGUCCGGAAACGGGCGCUAAUACCGCAUACUAUCUGAUGACCCUUGGUCGGAUUAGCUCGUUGGUGGGGUAAAGGCCUACCAAGGCGACGAUCCUUAACUGGUCUGAAAGGAUGAUCAGUCACACUGGAACUGAGACACGGUCCAGACUCCUACGGGAGGCAGCAGUGGGGAAUAUUGGACAAUGGGCGAAAGCCUGAUCCAGCAAUGCCGCGUGUGUGAAGAAGGUCUUCGGAUUGUAAAGCUCUUUAAGUUGGGAGGCGUUACCUACAGAAUAAGCACCGGCUAACUUCGUGCCAGCAGCCGCGGUAAUUC